UACACAAAGCAGAUGGCUACUGCCAGUGGGUGUGAAGAUGGGGACCAUGGCAAAAGAGUAGGGUCUUCUGGGGUCCAGUUGCUUCUUCUGCUAAAGAAGGGAAGGAGACACAGCAGGACAAAGGAGGAAGGAAAAGCAGGGACAAGGCUGGUGAAGGGCGUGAAUCCAUCUUUUGUUGUCAAAGUCUACUAACAAGUUUUAUUUUUAACCAUACACCAGACGGUACAGAGAAAAAAAUACAAACGGCUACAGCAGUUCAUGCAACAGAAGGUAUGCAUUUUACUCACUCUUACCAAAUUAAACCAAGG